UACGUAAGGUGCAAGCGUUGUCCGGAAUUAUUGGGCGUAAAGAGCUUGUAGGCGGUUUGUCGCGUCUGCUGUGAAAAUCCGGGGCUCAACCCCGGACUUGCAGUGGGUACGGGCAGACUAGAGUGUGGUAGGGGAGACUGGAAUUCCUGGUGUAGCGGUGAAAUGCGCAGAUAUCAGGAGGAACACCGAUGGCGAAGGCAGGUCUCUGGGCCACUACUGACGCUGAGAAGCGAAAGCAUGGGGAGCGAACAGG
rnacentral:rRNA from 1 species